rnacentral:rRNA from 1 species
CCUACGGGUGGCAGCAGUGAGGAAUAUUGGUCAAUGGGCGCGAGCCUGACCCAGCCAAGUAGCGUGAAGGAUGACUGCCCUACGGGUUGUAAACUUCUUUUAUAGAGGAAUACAGUGAGGCACGUGUGCCUUUUUGUAUGUACUUUAUGCAUAAGGAUCGGCUAACUCCGUGCCAGCAGCCGCGGUAAUACGGAGGGUCCGAGCGUUAUCCGGAUUUAUUGGGUUUAAAGGGAGCGUAGGUGGAUUGGUAAGUCAGUUGUGAAAGUUUGCGGCUCAACCGUAAAAUUGCAGUUGAAACUGGCAGUCUUGAGUACAGUAGAGGUGGGCGGAAUUCGUGGUGUAGCGGUGAAAUGCUUAGAUAUCACGAAGAACUCCGAUGGCGAAGGCAGCUCACUGGACUGCAACUGACACUGAGGCUCGAAAGUGUGGGUAUCAAACAGGAUUAGAUACCCGAGUAGUC